rnacentral:lncRNA from 1 species
AAAAAGGCACAAAAUGAAAAAAAAAUUCAAUCAUAAGAGAUCUUUAAAAAUCAUAGAUCUCUUAUAAUGUUUACCCAUUUUGAUAUAUCUCCAAAUUCGUUGUGUAAUGAUAUUUUGUUGAGAUCUUUGUCUUGGGGAUUGUCAUCAUUCUUCUCUUCUUUUGUUGUCUUCUGCAAGUCUUCAUUAUUACCUGCAUCUG